CGUCAUUUUUUUUUAAACUACGCGCCAUUGUGCGCUGGGGGAAGUAACUCGAAUAAUCAAUCGGAACUCCUCGGCUAGUAUCAAGAUAUGGCCUCGGAUAUAAUACGGGUCGUAAGAAAAUAGUCCAUCAUGGCCGACCAAGAAGAUGUUCAAACAACCAAGAGAUAUGUUAGUCCAAAGACAGAAUGAGGAGCGAACUUUUACCACUUAUUUGUGUAGAAUAGUAUCAGGGGUGCAGCUGACUCUGAUUCCCAGCUUGUUCUAAUGAAAAAAGGCAGAUGAGGCACUGGAAUCCGAAUGUAAUCAAAAAUGCCAUUGUAUGAGGAUUGACCUGCAAUGCAUGGAAAUCAUCUAACACAACUGCAACUCCUACCUUGGAAAAAUGAGUGCAAGAUGGAAACAAAGCGUUCAGUGGAACAUCUUGUCAUCUCAAAUAUUUGAUGACUUACAUACUAAUGUGAAGUCGAAGAUAAAAGUCAUCUGUUGGUCCGUGAUUAUUAAAUAAAUCCGAACAUAUAUUUUAAAAGGGUAAUAUGGUAAAGGAUUUAUCUACGCUUAAAGUGGUUUUCCUAUAUUAUGGAGGGAAAAUAACUACAAAAACAGAAAUAGAUGGCAUCGGCAGACCAAAUAAAGGAGAACUAUUUUGUUCAGUUCAAUUUUUAAGACUUCAGAAAAUCCGUUAAUAGGGCACAUCCUUGCAAAUGCCAUAUUGUAAACUGGGCUCUUUAAAAUGUGAAAAGGUGAAAAAGGUCUAUAGGAUAAGCCUCAAAUUCAAGGUUGUGAGUUCAAGACCUCCAAGAUACUUUCUCUUGACCUCAGGAAAAGGAUGUCCAUACUUGUUUCUACUUAGGCAACAGACUUAAGAGUGAUUUUGUAAGCUUCCAGCUUGCAUAGCAAUCUGAUAAGGCAUAAAAUAAGAUACUAGCUGACUUGCAAACAGUUUUUCCAUUUGUGUUGAUUUAUUUUUCAUUCUGUUGGAAUGUUUAUUAGAAGUGAUGCGCAUUGCUUACUGCAACCAAUAUUUAUUUUCUUUAUUAAGUUAAAUUUAACGAACACAUAACAUGACUUGUGAUUUUACAGAUGCAUGUUUAUUUCGUUGAUUGUAUGAGUUUAUUUUCUCAAAUGAUGUAAUAAAAGUUAUUCUGAAUGACUGUCCUUUUUUGUUUGAAGAAAAUGUGUUGAGGUUUUGGCAUAGCAUAGUGUCAUCAUCAUCAUCAUCAUCAUUGUUGUG